ACUUAAUAGAAUACUAUUCACAUAUUGGUCAUCUAACUGCAAUCCAGAGUCCGCUAACAGCUUGUAACAGUUGAAGAAGCUGUUUGCAAGUUGGAACCACUGCAAGAUUUUAAGCAGGAAACUGUUCGCAUUAGACCUUUCAGUUUUGAUUUUGAGCAACCAUCUUUCACUGAAGAAGAUAUCAAGGAAUUUAUAUGGAGAGA
rnacentral:sRNA from 1 species